rnacentral:lncRNA from 1 species
GCCUAAUGGGGUCUGACCUCACCCUGUUUGGAGGUGGCCUUGUAAGAGCAAGAGCAAGGUCCACCAGAGAACAUCUGUUAACCUCUUCCCCAGCUCUUAGAGAAAAGAGCUGGAACCACAAAUUUACAGACACUGCUGAGGCCUGGGACCACCCAGUGGGGAGAUCUCUGGUGGAGGGAGCAGAGGAAGGAAAGAGGAAGGAUAUCAAAGAGUUGCAGAGUCAGAGGAGAAGGGAUGGCCCCGAGAGCACUGACAAUGUGUGUGGUAUGGUCUCUGCCCAGGCCAGCAGCAAGGGAAUGGAGGAGGACUUCCCUCUCUGCACAAGAAGUGAAUCUGGAGAAGAGACACCUGGCGUAUUUAGAGAGCCAAUGGCUCCUUCAUCUCCAAAGGAAUCUUGGGAACUUGCUGCCAUACAGGAUGGUGAUCAGUUGGACUGCUGGAAUGCACAGGUUGAUUCCCUAAGAUUAUCUUUGGGCUUUGGGGACAUUUGCAUCACAUGUUAAAAACUGGUGAAAAUUCAUUUAAUUUUUUAAUUUUUAAUUUUUUUCUUUUGUCCUUUUAGUGCUGCACCUGUGGCAUAUUCCCAGGCUAGGGGUCUAAUGGGAGCUGUAGCUGCUGGCCUAUGCCAGAGCCACAGCAACGCCAGACCCGAGCUGUGUCUGUGACCUACACCACAGCUCAUGGCGAUCCUUAACCCACUGAGCCAGGCCAAGGAUCAAAGCCGCAACCUCAUGGGUCCUAGUUGGAUUCCUUUCCGCUGCACCAUGACAGGAACUCCUGAAAAUUUAUUUUUAUUUUAAAAUUUCUUACAAGUAUUUCAUCUGUCAUGAGAGAAAAUAAAAAAUUCCAAAGGGAAAAAUGCACACAUUGCUGUGCUCCAUGUCCGAAAAAGCAAAGUGAAUACUUAUCUGCUGCCAAUAUGCUUAAUUAGGGUAGACAAGGGAGGAAACACUUAAAAUUAUGGUUUUGAAAAAAGCCACUGAAGUAAAUAGGCAUGACAUUGAGUGGUCAGACAUCUAUUCCCAAAUUUUUUUUUUUUUUUUUUUUUGUCUUUUUAGGGCCAUACCCGCAGCAUAUGGAGGUUCCCAGGCUAGGGGUUGAAUCAGAGCUACAGCUGAUAGCCUAUGCCACAGCCACAGCAACACGGGAUCUGAGCUGUGUCUGCGACCUGUACCACAGCUCACAGCAAUCCUUGAUCCUUAACCCACUGAAUGAGGCCAGGGAUUGAACCUGCUCAUGCAUACUAGUUGGAUUUGUUUCCUCUAAGCCACAAGGGGAACUCCCUGAUUUUUUUUAAUGCAUCUUUUUACUAUGUUUGUUUUAUAAAAAGAGGAACUCAAAGAGACAAAGUGGGCAUUAAGUAUUUUUAUAAAAUAUUCUGUAGAUUUAACAAUGCAGCUCUUUAAAAUUUUUCACUCCUGUAAAACAGAGAGCAAGAUUUUAUUAUUAAUAGCGGAC